UACAGGAGGGUGCAAGCGUUAAUCGGAUUUACUGGGCGUAAAGCGCGCGUAGGCGGCUAAUUAAGUCAAAUGUGAAAUCCCCGAGCUUAACUUGGGAAUUGCAUUCGAUACUGGUUAGCUAGAGUGUGGGGAGAGGAUGGUAGAAUUCCAGGUGUAGCGGUGAAAUGCGUAGAGAUCGGAGGAAUACCGAUGGCGAAGGCAGCCAUCUGGCCUAACACUGACGCUGAGGUGCGAAAGCAUGGGGAGCAAACAGG
rnacentral:rRNA from 1 species